rnacentral:rRNA from 1 species
GAUGAACGCUGGCGGCGUGCCUAACACAUGCAAGUCGAACGGUUAAACCGCCCUCGGGCGGACAUACAGUGGCGAACGGGUGAGUAACACGUGACCAACCUGCCCCGCGCUCCGGGACAACCGCUGGAAACGGCGGCUAAUACCGGAUACUCCGCGGCCCCCGCAUGGGGGCGGCGGGAAAGCCCCGACGGCGCGGGAUGGGGUCGCGGCCCAUUAGGUAGUAGGCGGGGUAGAGGCCCACCUAGCCGACGAUGGGUAGCCGGACUGAGAGGUCGAUCGGCCACAUUGGGACUGAGAUACGGCCCAGACUCCUACGGGAGGCAGCAGUGGGGAAUUUUGCGCAAUGGGGGAAACCCUGACGCAGCAACGCCGCGUGCGGGACGAAGGCCCUCGGGUCGUAAACCGCUUUCAGCAGGGAAGACUUUACGACGGUACCUGCAGAAGAAGCUCCGGCUAACUACGUGCCAGCAGCCGCGGUAAUACGUAGGGGGCGAGCGUUAUCCGGAUUCAUUGGGCGUAAAGCGCGCGUAGGCGGCCGCCUAAGCGGAACCUCUAACCCCGGGGCUCAACCUCGGGCCGGGUUCCGGACUGGGCGGCUCGAGUGCGGUAGAGGAGAGCGGAAUUCCCGGUGUAGCGGUGGAAUGCGCAGAUAUCGGGAAGAACACCGAUGGCGAAGGCAGCUCUCUGGGCCGUCACUGACGCUGAGGCGCGAAAGCUGGGGGAGCGAACAGGAUUAGAUACCCUGGUAGUCCCAGCCGUAAACGAUGGAUACUAGGUGUGGGGGGAUCCCCCCUCCGUGCCGCAGCCAACGCAUUAAGUAUCCCGCCUGGGGAGUACGGCCGCAAGGCUAAAACUCAAAGGAAUUGACGGGGGCCCGCACAAGCAGCGGAGCAUGUGGCUUAAUUCGAAGCAACGCGAAGAACCUUACCAGGGCUUGACAUGCGCCUGAAGCCGCGGAGACGCGGUGGCCGAGAGGAGGGCGCGCAGGUGGUGCAUGGCUGUCGUCAGCUCGUGUCGUGAGAUGUUGGGUUAAGUCCCGCAACGAGCGCAACCCCCGUCCCGUGUUGCCAGCAUUAGGUUGGGGACUCGCGGGAGACUGCCGGCGUCAAGCCGGAGGAAGGUGGGGACGACGUCAAGUCAUCAUGCCCCUUAUGCCCUGGGCUGCACACGUGCUACAAUGGCCGGUACAGAGGGUUGCCACCCCGCGAGGGGGAGCGGAUCCCGGAAAGCCGGCCCCAGUUCGGAUCGCAGGCUGCAACCCGCCUGCGUGAAGCCGGAGUUGCUAGUAAUCGCGGAUCAGCACGCCGCGGUGAAUACGUUCCCGGGCCUUGUACACACCGCCCGUCACACCACCCGAGUCGUCUGCACCCGAAGCCGCCGGCCGAACCCCCCUGGGGCGGAGGCGUCGAAGGUGUGGAGGGUAAGGGGGGUGAAGUCGUAACAAGGUAGCCGUACCGGAAGGUGCGGCUGGAUCACCUCCUUUCUAGGGAGAACCUAGGCCGUCUUCUCCAUUCCCCAGCAUCCGGCUGCGAGGGCCCCCCAGAGGCCCCCGGCACCUUGACAGCUGCAUAGCGCGUGACAUGAAAAUGUCGCACAUGAUCAACACCUACAUCAAUUCCCUAAGCUGAGGCUUUAGGUUCGAUGGGUGUUCGCAUCAUGGACACGACGAUUCAUCACGAUCGCGAACGUAUGUUUUUAUCUUACGACGGAUUUUUAAUUCUCAUAGAUCUAAACCAGAGGACGAAGCCGGGGCCGGAAGGGCCCCGGCGCCUAGGGUAUCUGAGGAAAGCGAAGAUACUAAGGGCGCACGGCGGAUGCCUUGGCACAGGAAGUCGACGAAGGACGCGGCAAGCUGCGAUAAGCUGCGGGGAGUGGCAAACACACCUUGAUCCGCAGGUCUCCGAAUGGGGGAACCCAGCAGGGGUCAUGCCCUGCUACCCCGCCCUGAAUCAAAUAGGGGCGCGGGAGGCAACCGGGGGAACUGAAACAUCUAAGUACCCCGAGGAAGAGAAAUCAACCGAGAUUGCGCGAGUAGCGGCGAGCGAAAGCGCACCAGCCCAAACCCGGGCGCGUGUAAGCGGCAGGCGUUGCCGCCCGGGGGUUGCGGGACGCACGUCACGGAGCUGCCCUCCGUGGAGCGGUUACAAAUCCGGCAGGUAGCGGAACGGCAUGGAAGGGCCGGCCGCAGCGGGUGAGAGCCCCGUACGCGAAACCUGUCGGACCGCUGUUGCGUAUCCCGAGUAGGGCCGGGCACGUGAAACCCGGUCCGAAGCCGGGGGGACCACCCUCCAAGGCUGAACACUCUCCUGUGACCGAUAGCGAACC